CUACGGGCGACAGCAGUGAGGAAUAUUGCACAAUGGGGGGAACCCUGAUGCAGCAACGCCGCGUGGAGGAUGACGCAUUUCGGUGUGUAAACCCCUUUUAUAUGUCAAGAAAAUGACGGUAGCAUAUGAAUAAGCACCGGCUAACUCCGUGCCAGCAGCCGCGGUAAUACGGAGGGUGCAAGCGUUACUCGGAAUCACUGGGCGUAAAGGACGCGUAGGCGGGUUGGAAAGUCAGGUGUGAAAUCCUACAGCUUAACUGUAGAACUGCACUUGAAACUUCUAAUCUAGAGUAUGGGAGGGGGAGAUGGAAUUAGUGGUGUAGGGGUAAAAUCCGUAGAUAUCACUAGGAAUACCUAAAGCGAAGGCGAUCUCCUGGAACAUUACUGACGCUAAGGCGUGAAAGCGUGGGGAGCAAACAGGAUUAGAUACCCCCGUAGUC
rnacentral:rRNA from 1 species